rnacentral:rRNA from 1 species
ACUCCUACGGGAGGCAGCAGUGGGAAUAUUGCACAAUGGGGAAACCCGUAGCAUGCAGCCAUGCCGCGUGUGUGAAGAAGGCCUUCGGGUUGUAAAGCACUUUCAGUAGGGAGGAAGGUAGUGUAGUUAACACCUGCACUAUUUGACGUUACCUACAGAAGAAGCACCGGCUAACUCCGUGCCAGCAGCCGCGGUAAUACGGAGGGUGCGAGCGUUAUCCGGAUUUAUUGGGUUUAAAGGGUCCGUAGGCGGAUUAAUAAGUCAGUGGUGAAAUCCCAUCGCUUAACGAUGGAACUGCCAUUGAUACUGUUAGUCUUGAAUGAGGGUGCAGUGGUUGGAAUGUGUAGUGUAGCGGUGAAAUGCAUAGAUAUUACACAGAACACCGAUUGCGAAGGCAGAUCACUAACCCUAAAUUGACGCUGAGGGACGAAAGCGUGGGGAGCGAACAGGAUUAGAUACCCUGUAGACUGUC